CAAUGAAUUACGCGAACUCAACUUAAUUGAUUGCACCAUGUUGCUUGAAAUCGCCGCGAAAUUCCGCUGCGGUUUUAAAGAUGCGUAAACACCGUAAGCUUGAGAGGCUCAGCCAAGUUCUGCAGUCUCGCGUCAGUUAGUAACAUUCGUGCACGAGUGGUGUGGGUCACCACCCAGAGGCUCACACAGGCUUCUCCCAGAGGUGUCCUUUCACGGCCCAAGCUAGAGGAAGUGCCGUUUUGGAGGAGAUGAUCGGGAGUCUGGGGCCCUGAGCCUUCCACGUGUGUGCCUGUAUUCGGUCCUAACAGGUGUACCUCCAGUCACUGCUGAGCACGGCGUGGCCCCUGCCCGGGUCACAGCGCAGAGCUGGGGCCCAGCCCCCGUACACCCGUCGUCUCUCCAGCUACAGGAACCACGGCGGAAAGAGCCCCUCUCCAGACACUCAGCGGAGCGCCUGAUUCCAAAUGUGAUUGUAAAAAUCUCAAUUAAGACGAUCUUCAAUUAAUCGACUGUUCCGGAACUCGACGGUGAGGAAGGUUCUGGGUGAAAAGGAGGCUGGAGAAGGAGAACGAUACACGGGGAGAGGAAGGAAGCGCUGGGAGGACAGUCUCAGGGGAAAAGAGAGAAAGCCCUUCAUCCACUGCCCGCCGUGGGCGCUGGUAACUGCUUGGCCAGCAGCUCACCGGGAAAGAGAGAAACGCCCUUGCUUGGGGCGCUUGCCAAAGUGUGCGUGCCCUGGCGGUGGCUGAUUUCAACUCCCUUAACUCGGCACCGGGAAAAAUGAGACCCCAGGGCUCUCGUGACCCGGUGGGAGCUCGCCCCAGCACCCUGGCUGCAAGAGACCAGGGGACAAUUGCGAGGGACGGUGAGGAUGAAGGGAUGAAGGUCCUCCUCGGUGUGGAUGUGCCGCCUCCAGCCUCCACGCCACGCCAGGCCCUGGGGAGGCCGUGCCCCCAUGACCCCCGAUCUUUUUACGGGGUCUUGUUCGAUCUGGUCAAAGCGUGCCUUGAGCCCUGCCUCGGAUUUUAUUGCAUAUGCCCACCUCUUACUGGCCUUCCGUUUCCACCAAAGCGGAAAACCCCAACGCCAAAUAAUAAAGGCUCAUUACCAGUGACAAGGAGUGGCUGAUUAUUCCGGCAGAAAGUUCUAAGUACAAAGGCUGAAGGUUGGGAACAGACCCAGCGAUGAGGAGGUGUUUCUCAGUGGGCCCUACCAUCAGGGAUUUAUCUGAUUUGGGCUAAGGAGGGCAUGAUACUCAAAAGCCGGAGGUUAAACGUUUCGACGGAGAGAUCACAGCCAGAUCUCUUAAUCACUUACUUCAUUUGGCUUUAGAAAGUGUUUCUUCAUGCUUUCUUUUCAGCAUUUGGAUCUGGUUUUAAAUUAUUCAUACGAUGACAUUGCCUGAUUCCUCUCACAAAUUCAGAAAAACAUAAAAUAUUGGGAAAGGGUUGAUGGUUAACGAAUUUCAUCUUCUGAGGAAUUUUGAUAUCCUGUCCGUAACAGAGAUUGCCAGGGA